rnacentral:rRNA from 1 species
CCUACGGGUGGCAGCAGUGGGGAAUAUUGGGCAAUGGGCGCAAGCCUGACCCAGCAACGCCGCGUGAAGGAAGAAGGCUUUCGGGUUGUAAACUUCUUUUGUCGGGGAACAAAGGGCGCCACGUGUGGCGUUGUGAGUGUACCCGAAGAAAAAGCAUCGGCUAACUCCGUGCCAGCAGCCGCGGUAAUACGGAGGAUGCGAGCGUUAUCCGGAUUUAUUGGGUUUAAAGGGUGCGUAGGCGGUCCGGAAAGUCAGCGGUAAAAGCCCGGGGCUCAACCCCGGCGAGCCGUUGAAACUGUCGGACUAGAGACGGCGAGAAGUACGCGGAAUGCGCGGUGUAGCGGUGAAAUGCAUAGAUAUCGCGCAGAACUCCGAUUGCGAAGGCAGCGUACCGGCGCCGGACUGACGCUGAGGCACGAAAGCGUGGGUAUCGAACAGGAUUAGAUACCCGAGUAGUC